AGGGACAUUUCAAUACAAAGGGGAAGAAGAAAAGCUGGAAAGAAACCUCAAACAGAGAAAAUCCAAGACAGAAAGAAGAUUCUCAAACAAGCAAAGCUGCAAAGAAGACUCUGAGACCAGCUUUGUGAACUGUCGCUUACGCGGGGCUGGGCUUUGGUGACACAGCUGUCUUUGAGCCAUUUCUGCUCCUGUGUGUGUCUGUGCACUCGUGUGGUCUUGAGAUACAGCAACGCAGACAGCCUGAUGGACUUGAUAUGGCUGCAAUUUCCCAGGCCUCUGAGUUUUUGUUUUUAUUUUUUAACCUUUCUACUGCUUUUGCUUCUGUAAUUUGACAUUUUACUGCUAUGGCUUGGCAGGUAAGUAUUAUUUGGGGAAGAAUAAGAACAGGAUGGCCUAAACUUUUGAAAUUAUGCUGACAAAAUCUUUAUGGCCAAACAUUUAAGGAAUAAAUAAGAAACAUUUCCCAUUGAAAU